CAGUCGCCGCGGUAAAACGAAGGGUGCAAGCGUUACUCGGAAUUACUGGGCGUAAAGCGUGUGUAGGUGGUUGUUUAAGUCUGUCGUGAAAGCCCUGGGCUCAACCUGGGAAUUGCGAUGGAUACUGGGCGACUAGAGUGCGGUAGAGGAUAGUGGAAUUUCCGGUGUAGCAGUGAAAUGCGUAGAGAUCGGAAGGAACAUCUGUGGCGAAGGCGACUAUCUGGGCCAACACUGACACUGAGACACGAAAGCGUGGGGAGCAAACAGGAUUAGAUACCCCUGUAGUCCCUGUCUCUUAUAC
rnacentral:rRNA from 1 species